AUACGGAGGAUCCGAGCGUUAUCCGGAUUUAUUGGGUUUAAAGGGUGCGCAGGCGGCCAUUUAAGUCAGCGGUUAAAUCGUGGGGCUCAACCCCAUUCUGCCGUUGAUACUGGGUGGCUUGAUUGCGGUCGAGGUUGGCGGAAUUCGUUGUGUAGCGGUGAAAUGCAUAGAUAUGACGAAGAACACCGAUUGCGUAGGCAGCUGACCAGACCGCAAAUGACGCUCAUGCACGAAAGUGCGGUGAUCGAACAGGAUUAGAUACCCUGGUAGUCCGCACAGUAAACGAUGAAUACUUGUUUUCGGCGAUAUAAUGUCGGAGGCAAAGCGAAAGCGAUAAGUAUUCCACCUGGGGAGUGCGCCGGCAACGGUGAAACUCAAAGGAAUUGGCGGGG
rnacentral:rRNA from 1 species